AGUGAACGCUGGCGGUAGGCCUAACACAUACAAGUCGAACGGCAGCACAGAGGAGCUUGCUCCUUGGGUGGCGAGUGGCGGACGGGUGAGGAAUACAUCGGAAUCUACUCUGUCGUGGGGGAUAACGUAGGGAAACUUACGCUAAUACCGCAUACGACCUACGGGUGAAAGCAGGGGAUCUUCGGACCUUGCGCGAUUGAAUGAGCCGAUGUCGGAUUAGCUAGUUGGCGGGGUAAAGGCCCACCAAGGCGACGAUCCGUAGCUGGUCUGAGAGGAUGAUCAGCCACACUGGAACUGAGACACGGUCCAGACUCCUACGGGAGGCAGCAGUGGGGAAUAUUGGACAAUGGGCGCAAGCCUGAUCCAGCCAUACCGCGUGGGUGAAGAAGGCCUUCGGGUUGUAAAGCCCUUUUGUUGGGAAAGAAAUCCAGCCGGCUAAUACCUGGUUGGGAUGACGGUACCCAAAGAAUAAGCACCGGCUAACUUCGUGCCAGCAGCCGCGGUAAUACGAAGGGUGCAAGCGUUACUCGGAAUUACUGGGCGUAAAGCGUGCGUAGGUGGUUAUUUAAGUCCGUUGUGAAAGCCCUGGGCUCAACCUGGGAACUGCAGUGGAUACUGGAUGACUAAAAUGUGGUAGAGGGUAGCGGAAUUUCCUGGUGUAGCAGUGAAAUGCGUAGAGAUCAGGAGGAACAUCCAUGGGCGAAGGCAGCUACCUGGACCAACAUUGACACUGGGGCACGAAAGCGUGGGGAGAAACAGG
rnacentral:rRNA from 1 species